rnacentral:rRNA from 1 species
UUUAUGGAGAGUUUGAUCCUGGCUCAGGAUGAACGCUGGCGGCGUGCCUAAUACAUGCAAGUCGAGCGAACGGACGAGAAGCUUGCUUCUCUGAUGUUAGCGGCGGACGGGUGAGUAACACGUGGAUAACCUACCUAUAAGACUGGGAUAACUUCGGGAAACCGGAGCUAAUACCGGAUAAUAUUUUGAACCGCAUGGUUCAAAAGUGAAAGACGGUCUUGCUGUCACUUAUAGAUGGAUCCGCGCUGCAUUAGCUAGUUGGUAAGGUGACGGCUUACCAAGGCAACGAUGCAUAGCCGACCUGAGAGGGUGAUCGGCCACACUGGAACUGAGACACGGUCCAGACUCCUACGGGAGGCAGCAGUAGGGAAUCUUCCGCAAUGGGCGAAAGCCUGACGGAGCAACGCCGCGUGAGUGAUGAAGGUCUUCGGAUCGUAAAACUCUGUUAUUAGGGAAGAACAUAUGUGUAAGUAACUGUGCACAUCUUGACGGUACCUAAUCAGAAAGCCACGGCUAACUACGUGCCAGCAGCCGCGGUAAUACGUAGGUGGCAAGCGUUAUCCGGAAUUAUUGGGCGUAAAGCGCGCGUAGGCGGUUUUUUAAGUCUGAUGUGAAAGCCCACGGCUCAACCGUGGAGGGUCAUUGGAAACUGGAAAACUUGAGUGCAGAAGAGGAAAGUGGAAUUCCAUGUGUAGCGGUGAAAUGCGCAGAGAUAUGGAGGAACACCAGUGGCGAAGGCGACUUUCUGGUCUGUAACUGACGCUGAUGUGCGAAAGCGUGGGGAUCAAACAGGAUUAGAUACCCUGGUAGUCCACGCCGUAAACGAUGAGUGCUAAGUGUUAGGGGGUUUCCGCCCCUUAGUGCUGCAGCUAACGCAUUAAGCACUCCGCCUGGGGAGUACGACCGCAAGGUUGAAACUCAAAGGAAUUGACGGGGACCCGCACAAGCGGUGGAGCAUGUGGUUUAAUUCGAAGCAACGCGAAGAACCUUACCAAAUCUUGACAUCCUUUGACAACUCUAGAGAUAGAGCCUUCCCCUUCGGGGGACAAAGUGACAGGUGGUGCAUGGUUGUCGUCAGCUCGUGUCGUGAGAUGUUGGGUUAAGUCCCGCAACGAGCGCAACCCUUAAGCUUAGUUGCCAUCAUUAAGUUGGGCACUCUAAGUUGACUGCCGGUGACAAACCGGAGGAAGGUGGGGAUGACGUCAAAUCAUCAUGCCCCUUAUGAUUUGGGCUACACACGUGCUACAAUGGACAAUACAAAGGGCAGCGAAACCGCGAGGUCAAGCAAAUCCCAUAAAGUUGUUCUCAGUUCGGAUUGUAGUCUGCAACUCGACUACAUGAAGCUGGAAUCGCUAGUAAUCGUAGAUCAGCAUGCUACGGUGAAUACGUUCCCGGGUCUUGUACACACCGCCCGUCACACCACGAGAGUUUGUAACACCCGAAGCCGGUGGAGUAACCUUUUAGGAGCUAGCCGUCGAAGGUGGGACAAAUGAUUGGGGUGAAGUCGUAACAAGGUAGCCGUAUCGGAAGGUGCGGCUGGAUCACCUCCUUU